rnacentral:misc_RNA from 1 species
AACCUAGCACACCUGCGGUGUGUACCUGCGGAAGGAUCAUUACAACAAGGUUCCCUGGCCCUCGAAGCUUCGGCGGAGGGGCGCUACAGCCUGACUUUAUACCCACCCUUUGCCUAUGUGUACCCCUAUUGCUUCCCUCGGCGGGCUCGCCCGCCGACAGGAACCAACUAAACCCUUUGCAUUAUACAUUUAACACUUCCGAUACAAAACUAAAUUAUUACAACUUUUAGCAACGGAUCU